rnacentral:rRNA from 1 species
AUUGAAUGCUGGCGGCAGGCCUAACACAUGCAAGUCGAACGGUAACAGGAAGCAGCUUGCUGCUUCGCUGACGAGUGGCGGACGGGUGAGUAAUGUCUGGGAAGCUGCCUGAUGGAGGGGGAUAACUACUGGAAACGGUAGCUAAUACCGCAUAAUGUCGCAAGACCAAAGAGGGGGACCUUCGGGCCUCUUGCCAUCGGAUGUGCCCAGAUGGGAUUAGCUUGUUGGUGGGGUAACGGCUCACCAAGGCGACGAUCCCUAGCUGGUCUGAGAGGAUGACCAGCCACACUGGAACUGAGACACGGUCCAGACUCCUACGGGAGGCAGCAGUGGGGAAUAUUGCACAAUGGGCGCAAGCCUGAUGCAGCCAUGCCGCGUGUAUGAAGAAGGCCUUCGGGUUGUAAAGUACUUUCAGCGGGGAGGAAGGGAGUAAAGUUAAUACCUUUGCUCAUUGACGUUACCCGCAGAAGAAGCACCGGCUAACUCCGUG